AUUGAACGCUGGCGGCAGGCCUAACACAUGCAAGUCGGGCGGAUGAAGGUAGCUUGCUCCUGGAUUCAGCGGCGGACGGGUGAGUAAUGCCUAGGAAUCUGCCUGGUAGUGGGGGAUAACGUCCGGAAACGGGCGCUAAUACCGCAUACGUCCUGAGGGAGAAAGUGGGGGAUCUUCGGACCUCACGCUAUCAGAUGAGCCUAGGUCGGAUUAGCUAGUUGGUGGGGUAAAGGCCUACCAAGGCGACGAUCCGUAACUGGUCUGAGAGGAUGAUCAGUCACACUGGAACUGAGACACGGUCCAGACUCCUACGGGAGGCAGCAGUGGGGAAUAUUGGACAAUGGGCGAAAGCCUGAUCCAGCCAUGCCGCGUGUGUGAAGAAGGUCUUCGGAUUGUAAAGCACUUUAAGUUGGGAGGAAGGGCAGUAAGUUAAUACCUUGCUGUUUUGACGUUACCAACAGAAUAAGCACCGGCUAACUUCGUG
rnacentral:rRNA from 1 species